rnacentral:rRNA from 1 species
UACUGGCCAGAGACCGAUAGCGCACAAGUAGAGUGAUCGAAAGAUGAAAAGCACUUUGGAAAGAGAGUCAAAUAGCACGUGAAAUUGUUGAAAGGGAAGCGCUUGCAGCCAGACUUGCCUGUAGUUGCUCAUCUGGGCUUUUGCCCGGUGCACUCUUCUACAGGCAGGCCAGCAUCAGUUUGGGCGGUUGGAUAAAGGUCUCUGACACGUUCCUCUCUUCGGGGAGGCCAUAUAGGGGAGGCGACAUACAACCAGCCUGGACUGAGGUCCGCGCAUUUGCUAGGAUGCUGGCGUAAUGGCUGUAAGCGGCCCGUCUUGAAACACGGACCAAGGAGUC